rnacentral:rRNA from 1 species
AUUGAACGCUGGCGGCAGGCUUAACACAUGCAAGUCGAGCGGGGAAAGGUAGCUUGCUACCUGACCUAGCGGCGGACGGGUGAGUAAUGCUUAGGAAUCUGCCUAUUAGUGGGGGACAACAUUCCGAAAGGAAUGCUAAUACCGCAUACGCCCUACGGGGGAAAGCAGGGGAUCUUCGGACCUUGCGCUAAUAGAUGAGCCUAAGUCAGAUUAGCUAGUUGGUGGGGUAAAGGCCUACCAAGGCGACGAUCUGUAGCGGGUCUGAGAGGAUGAUCCGCCACACUGGGACUGAGACACGGCCCAGACUCCUACGGGAGGCAGCAGUGGGGAAUAUUGGACAAUGGGCGAAAGCCUGAUCCAGCCAUGCCGCGUGUGUGAAGAAGGCCUUUUGGUUGUAAAGCACUUUAAGCGAGGAGGAGGCUACUUGGAUUAAUACUCUAGGAUAGUGGACGUUACUCGCAGAAUAAGCACCGGCUAACUCUGUGCCAGCCGCCGCAGUAA